UACAGAGGGUGCAAGCGUUAAUCGGAAUUACUGGGCGUAAAGCGUGCGUAGGUGGUUUGUUAAGUCUGUUGUGAAAGCCCCGGGCUCAACCUGGGAAUGGCAAUGGAUACUGGCAAGCUAGAGUGCGGUAGAGGGUAGUGGAAUUCCCGGUGUAGCGGUGAAAUGCGUAGAGAUCGGGAGGAACAUCAGUGGCGAAGGCGGCUGCCUGGCCCAAUACUGACACUCAGGUGCGACAGCGUGGGGAGCAACAGG
rnacentral:rRNA from 1 species